UGGAGCAUCACAGGAAAGGACAGCAAGAACUUUCCUGAGCAGCUGCACAUGGGAGAACUGAGGAGCAGUUAUCCAACCAGGGGGUCUCAUGGGUCAAUGAAACGAUACAUACCCUAUGCAGACAACAUCUUCUUGUAUAUUUUAUAGCAUCUAUCUACACGGAGCGAUUCAUGGGUCUCCCGACAAAGGAUGAUAAUCUGGAGCACUAUAAAAAUUCAACUGUGAUGGCAAGAGCAGAAUAUUUCAGAAAUGUAGACUAUCUUCUCAUCCACGGAACAGCAGAUGAUAAUGUGCACUUUCAAAACUCAGCACAGAUUGCUAAAGCUCUGGUUAAUGCACAAGUGGAUUUCCAGGCAAUGGUACCUAAUUUCCUUUCACUCAUGUUC